CCUUAGUAACGGCGAGUGAAGCGGCAACAGCUCAAAUUUGAAAUCUGGCUUCGGCCCGAGUUGUAAUUUGUAGAGGAUGUUUAUGGUGCGGUACCUUCCGAGUUCCCUGGAACGGGACGCCACAGAGGGUGAGAGCCCCGUCUGGUUGGAUACCAAACCUGUGUUAAACUCCUUCAACGAGUCGAGUAGUUUGGGAAUGCUGCUCUAAAUGGGAGGUAAAUCUCUUCUAAAGCUAAAUACCGGCCAGAGACCGAUAGCGCACAAGUAGAGUGAUCGAAAGAUGAAAAGCACCUUGAAAAGGGGGUUAAACAGUACGUGAAAUUGUUGAAAGGGAAGCGUUUAUGACCAGACUUGUGCCGUGUGGCUCAUCCGAGGUUCUCCCCGGUGCACUCCACACGGUUCAGGCCAACAUCGGUUUUCGCUGGGGGAUAAUAAUAGUAGGAACGUGGCUCCUUCGGGAGUGUUAUAGCCUAUUGUACGAUACCCUGGCGGGGACCGAGGACCGCGCUUCGGCUAGGAUGUUGGCGUAAUGGUCAUUAGCGACCCGUCUUGAAACACGGACCAAGGAGUCGUCCAUUAGAGCGAGCGUUUGGGUGUAAAACCCGCACGCGUAAUGAAAGUGAAAUUAGGUGAGAGCUUCGGCGCAUCAUCGACCGAUCCUGAAGUUUACGGAUGGAUUUGAGUAAGAGUUUUAACGGACGGACCCGAAAGACAGUGAACUAUGCUUGAAUAGGGUGAAGCCAGAGGAAACUCUGGUGGAGGCUCGCAGCGGUUCUGACGUGCAAAUCGAUCGUCAAAUUUGAGCAUGGGGGCGAAAGACUAAUCGAACUGUUAGCUACUAGGCAGUUAAGAGUAGGCCAGUAAUGGCACUGCUAGUCGGCAUAUUAUAAAUGCUGGCGACACCGUCAAAUUGCGGGAACACCUUGCUAGGUCUAAACUACCGCUCUACCGUCGAAAGGCGCUAGAGCACCCGGUGUAAUGGCCGGGGUAUGGUAAUAACGUUUAGAAUAGAGGCAAUCCGCAGCCAAGUCCUACAUCAAUAGAUAUGGAUGCAGUUCACAGAUUAGACGUCGGUGGGCUCAGGGCACCUGGGCUUAAGAUAUAAUCGAGACCCCCUAGAGAUAGGUGGAAAUCUAGCAUUAAUAUAAUCGCUAGUAGCUGGUUACCGCCGAAGUUUCCCUCAGGAUAGCAGUGUUGACCUUCAGUUUUAUGAGGUAAAGCGAAUGAUUAGGGACUCGGGGGCGCUUAUUAGCCUUCAUCCAUUCUCAAACUUUAAAUAUGUAAGAAGCCCUUGUUACUUAAUUGAACGUGGGCAUUCGAAUGUACCAACACUAGUGGGCCAUUUUUGGUAAGCAGAACUGGCGAUGCGGGAUGAACCGAACGGGGGGUUAAGGCGCCAGAAUGUACGCUCAUCAGACACCACAAAAGGCGUUAGUACAUCUUGACAGCAGGACGGUGGCCAUGGAAGUCGGAAUCCGCUAAGGACUGUGUAACAACUCACCUGCCGAAUGUACUAGCCCUGAAAAUGGAUGGCGCUCAAGCGUACUGCCCAUACCCCCCCUUCAGGGUAGAAACGAUGCCCUGAAGAGUAGGCGGCCGUGGAGGUGUAACGAA
rnacentral:rRNA from 1 species